UACCAGCACCCCCGAGUGGUCGGGACGAUUAUUGGGCCUAAAGCAUCCGUAGCCGGUCAUGCAAGUCUUCCGUUAAAUCCAGCCGCUCAACGGUUGGGCUGCGGAGGAUACUACGUGGCUAGGAGGCGGGAGAGGCAAGCGGUACUCAGUGGGUAGGGGUAAAAUCCUUUGAUCCAUUGAAGACCACCAGUGGCGAAGGCGGCUUGCCAGAACGCGCUCGACGGUGAGGGAUGAAAGCUGGGGAGCAA
rnacentral:rRNA from 1 species